ACGCUCGACACCUACGGGCAGCAGUGGGGAAUAUUGCACAAUGGGGGAAACCCUGAUGCAGCGACGCCGCGUGAGUGAAGAAGUAUUUCGGUAUGUAAAGCUCUAUCAGCAGGGAAGAAGAUGACGGUACCUGAGUAAGAAGCCCCGGCUAACUACGUGCUAGCAGCCGCGGUAAUCUGAGCGGGCUGGCAAGGC
rnacentral:rRNA from 1 species